CAAAUAUACCUGUACUCACUGAAUACAAUUAUUCAAAUUGUCACAGCACCAUCUACACAAACUAAACUACAAGUGCGUCCCUAACUCUGUCGUUCAUUUUUAAAGAAUCAAAUCUAAGAAUGGAGCUUGAUAUAUAUGUCAGAGCACAUGCAAAUGGGGUCCUCUCUGUGCUGAUAAAACCAGCCCAUCUCAGACUCUGCAGCUGGGAGAGCAGCCCCAGCCCCGGAGUCCCAGUUGUUCCCAUUCUCUGAUCAGGACAGAACAGACACCUCACCAUGGACUUUGAGCUUGGCUGGGUUUUCCUGGUUGCUCUUUUAAAAGGUGUCCAGUGUGACGUGCAGCUGGUGGAGUCUGGGGGAGACCUGUUGCAGCCUGGGGGGUCCCUGAGACUCACCUGUGUGGCCUCUGGAUUCACCUUCAGUAGCUAUGGAAUGAGCUGGGUUCGCCAGGCUCCAGGAAAGGGGCUGCGCUGGCUCGCAUAUAUUCAUACUGAUGGAAGUAGCACAAACUAUGCAGACUCUGUGAAGGGCCGAUUCCCCAUCUCCAGAGACAACUCCAAGAACAUGCUGUAUCUGCAGAUGAACAACCUGCAGGCCGAGGACAAGGCCACAUAUUACUGUGCAAGAGACAGGGUGAGGGGACCUCGCUGGGAGCCCAGACACAAACCUCCCUGCAGGAGGGGAUCAGCACCACCAGGGGGCGCACACUGUGCACAAUUCUGCUUUGUGUUGCCAGGAGCAGGUGUAGAUGGAGGUUACAGGCAGGUUUCCUCUCAGGGUGUGGGGCUUCCUCUCCACACAGCAGUUUCUCCAGGGAGCCUCUCUGGACACAGAAUUCUGUGUUUACCUAUUAGCUGUGUGAAUUAGAUCAUUGUUUUCCUA